AGUGAACGCUGGCGGUAGGCCUAACACAUGCAAGUCGAACGGCAGCACAGUAAGAGCUUGCUCUUACGGGUGGCGAGUGGCGGACGGGUGAGGAAUACAUCGGAAUCUACUUUUUCGUGGGGGAUAACGUAGGGAAACUUACGCUAAUACCGCAUACGACCUACGGGUGAAAGCAGUGGAUCUUCGGACCUUGCGCGAUUGAAUGAGCCGAUGUCGGAUUAGCUAGUUGGCGGGGUAAAGGCCCACCAAGGCGACGAUCCGUAGCUGGUCUGAGAGGAUGAUCAGCCACAAUGGAACUGAGACACGGUCCAGACUCCUACGGGAGGCAGCAGUGGGGAAUAUUGGACAAUGGGCGCAAGCCUGAUCCAGCCAUACCGCGUGGGUGAAGAAGGCCUUCGGGUUGUAAAGCCCUUUUGUUGGGAAAGAAAAGCAGCAGGUUAAUACCACGCUGUUCUGACGGUACCCAAAGAAUAAGCACCGGCUAACUUCGUG
rnacentral:rRNA from 1 species